CCUACGGGGGGCAGCAGUGAGGAAUAUUGGUCAAUGGACGAGAGUCUGAACCAGCCAAGUAGCGUGAAGGAUGACUGCCCUAUGGGUUGUAAACUUCUUUUAUAUGGGAAUAAAACGUUCCACGUGUGGGAUUUUGUAUGUACCAUAUGAAUAAGGAUCGGCUAACUCCGUGCCAGCAGCCGCGGUAAUACGGAGGAUCCGAGCGUUAUCCGGAUUUAUUGGGUUUAAAGGGAGCGUAGGUGGAUUAGUAAGUCAGUUGUGAAAGUUUGCGGCUCAACCGUAAAAUUGCAGUUGAAACUUGCAGUCUUGAGUACAGUAGAGGUGGGCGGAAUUCGUGGUGUAGCGGUGAAAUGCGUAGAUAUCACGAAGAACUCCGAUUGCGAAGGCAGUUCACUGGACUGCAACUGACACUGAGGCUCGAAAGUGUGGGUAUCAAACAGGAUUAGAUACCCUAGUAGUC
rnacentral:rRNA from 1 species